AGAAUUAACGCUGGUGGCGUGCAUAACACAUGCAAGUCGAACGAGAAUUAUAAUUUUCAAGUCUUCGGAUGAGAAAAUUAUGAGGAUAGUGGCAAACGGGUGAGUAAUACGUAGGUAAUCUACCUUUAAGUGGGGGAUAACUAAGCGAAAGCUUAGCUAAUACCCCAUAUGACCACGAUCUGGAUACAGAUUGAGGUAAAAGAUUUAUCGCUUAAAGAGGAGCCUGCGGUCUAUCAGCUAGUUGGUGAGGUAAUGGCUCACCAAGGCUACGACGGAUAUCCGGCCUGAAAGGGUGAACGGACACAUUGGAACUGAGACACGGUCCAGACUCCUACGGGAGGCAGCAGUGGGGAAUAUUGCGCAAUGGGGGCAACCCUGACGCAGCGACGCCAUGUGAAGGAUGAAGGUCUUAGGAUUGUAAACUUCUGUUAAGCGGGAAUAAGGUCUAGUUUACUAGACUUGACGGUACCGCUAGAGAAAGUACCGGCUAACUCCGUGCCAGCAGCCGCGGUAAUACGGAGGGUGCAAGCGUUAUUCGGAAUUACUAGGUGUAAAGGGCGCGUAGGCGGUUUGUUAAGUCAAAUGUUAAAUCCACUAGCUUAACUAGUUGGCUGCAUUUGAAGCUAAUAGACUUGAGUAUAGAAGAGGAAAAUGGAAUUCCUAGUGUAGCGGUGAAAUGCGUAGAUAUUAGGAGGAACACCAAUAGCGAAAGCAGUUUUCUGGUCUAUUACUGACGCUGAGGCGCGAAAGCUAGGGGAUCAAACAGGAUUAGAUACCCUGGUAGUCCUAGCUGUAAACUAUGUUCACUAGAUAUGGGGGGAGUAUUCCCUUCGUGUUGACGCUAACGCAUUAAGUGAACCACCUGGGGAGUACGGCCGCAAGGUUGAAACUCAAAGGAAUUGACGGGGGCCCGCACAAGCGGUGGAGUAUGUGGUUUAAUUCGAUCAACGCGAAAAACCUUACCUGGCUUGACAUGUAUUGGAAUAAUAUAGAAAUAUAUUAGUCUUCGGACCGAUACACAGGUGCUGCAUGGCUGUCGUCAGCUCGUGUCGUGAGAUGUUGGGUUAAGUCCCGCAACGAGCGCAACCCUUAUCUUUAGUUGCUAACCCUAAUUUAUUUAGGGAGGACUCUAAAGAAACUGCCUGGGACAACCAGGAGGAAGGUGGGGAUGACGUCAAGUCCUCAUGGCCCUUAUGCCCAGGGCUACACACGUACUACAAUGGUCGAUACAGAGGGCUGCAAGAUCGUAAGAUGGAGCUAAUCCCACAAAGUCGACCUCAGUUCAGAUUGAGGGCUGCAACUCGCCCUCAUGAAGGCGGAAUCGCUAGUAAUCGCAGAUCAGCACGCUGCGGUGAAUACGUUCCCGGGCCUUGUACAC
rnacentral:rRNA from 1 species